rnacentral:rRNA from 1 species
UACGGAGGGGGCUAGCGUUGUUCGGAAUCACUGGGCGUAAAGGGCGCGUAGGUGGCGCUGCAAGUCGGUGGUGAAAGCUCGCCGCUUAACGGCGAGUCGGCCAUCGAAACUGCAGGGCUCGAGCACUGUAGGGGCUAAUGGAAUUCCGGGUGUAGCGGUGGAAUGCGUAGAGAUCCGGAAGAACACCAGUGGCGAAGGCGGUUAGCUGGGCAGUUGCUGACACUGGAUGCGCGACAGCGUGGGGAGCAAACAGG